GUCUACAGCCACGCCACUCUGAACAAGCCCAAUGUCUGAUCUCGGAAGCUAAACAGGGUCGGGCCUGGUUAGUACUUGGAUGGGAGAUCACCUAGGAAUACUAGGUGCUGUAGGCG
rnacentral:rRNA from 1 species